AUUGAACGCUGGCGGCAUGCCUUACACAUGCAAGUCGAACGGCAGCACGGGAGCAAUCCUGGUGGCGAGUGGCGAACGGGUGAGUAAUAUAUCGGAACGUGCCCAGUCGUGGGGGAUAACGUAGCGAAAGCUACGCUAAUACCGCAUACGAUCUAUGGAUGAAAGCGGGGGAUCGCAAGACCUCGCGCGAUUGGAGCGGCCGAUAUCAGAGUAGGUAGUUGGUGAGGUAAAGGCUCACCUAGCCGACGAUCUGUAGCUGGUCUGAGAGGACGACCCGCCACACUGGGACUGAGACACGGCCCAGACUCCUACGGGAGGCAGCAGUGGGGAAUUUUGGACAAUGGGCGCAAGCCUGAUCCAGCAAUGCCGCGUGCAGGAUGAAGGCCUUCGGGUUGUAAACUGCUUUUGUACGGAACGAAACGGCGAGCUCUAAUACAGUUUGCUAAUGACGGUACCGUAAGAAUAAGCACCGGCUAACUACGUGCCAGCCGCCGCCGUAA
rnacentral:rRNA from 1 species